AAGCCAGCCAGGAAGGAGGAGGCAGCCAGAGUGGCCACCACUGUUCUCUGCAGCAGAAGACCCCCUGCUGCCAGUUCUUUAUUUCAGAAGCUCUUUUCAUAAUAAGCAGAAGAUAUACUGUAUGAAGAGACAAAAGCUCUACCGGCUAAUUUUCUAUAUUGCAAGUGAUUUGAAAUAAGCAAGGAAACAGCAGGGCCUGCCAGAUUGUCGAGGUGAGCUAGGAAGAGCACUGCUGUCUCGGAGGUCACCUUGCGAUGAAGACUCUAAAUAACAGCGCACUAAUGUAUGCAUACAUGCGGGAAUGGCUUUAACCCACGUGUCAGACUGCCACUAAUCGAUUCAUUGGCUUCUAACAAAACAAAACAAAACUGGAGAGCUUAGCCCCCUUGUCCAGCUGCAGCAGGGCGGAGCAGGAACAUAUGCCUGCGUGAAAGUGGGGAGGGGAGGGCAAGAAACUCUCUUGAGCAACCAAACAAAGACAGGGGGGAAAUGUCUUUGGCAAGGCGUGGAAUGACUUAAGCACUCUAUUGUAUUAAAUAUGAAUGAGCCGUCCUUGUACAAGCCUAGUGUGAGGGGAUUCUCUGUGUCCUUGAUUAGCCACAUGAUUAACCAGAUUACAUGGGGGAAGCCACUAAGGUAAAUAAGGCAGGCCUUCUGUCAUUUCCUCCCUGAGGCAUAGAAAACAAGGUGCUGGGAGCCUGCCCUAUUGUCAUCAGCUGAAAGAGGGACAAAGCUCCGCAUAAACGCUGUGGUUGUGAAUGACAAUAAGCCUCAGAAGGGGAGCCGGUCUGCGCCAAGUAGCAUGAAAAUAUCUAUCUGGUCAGUCUCCACAUAGGUAUUGUUCCCAUUUAGCGCACAGCCCUGUAUGAAAGCCCUGUGCUUAAAAAGGGCCUUGUGUCCUCUCAUUGUUUUUCCUUUUUCCUUUUUUGAAGGUGCAGAUUAAGGCAGAAUCAGUGAACCAUGCUCAUUAAGAGUGCAGGCCAAGACAUGUAUGUCUUUGAAUCUGUCAGCAUAUUAACCCCCUUCUGCCAUUUUUCUACAUCAGUGAGUUUUCCUGGCUUCUCUCCUCUUUGAAUCUUGUUCUUGGAGACAAAU